UACGAAGGGGGCUAGCGUUGUUCGGAUUUACUGGGCGUAAAGCGCACGUAGGCGGAUCUUUAAGUCAGAGGUGAAAUCCCAAGGCUCAACCUUGGAACUGCCUUUGAUACUGGGGAUCUCGAGUCCGGGAGAGGUGAGUGGAACUGCGAGUGUAGAGGUGAAAUUCGUAGAUAUUCGGCAAGAACACCAGUGGCGAAGGCGGCUCACUGGCCCGGUACUGACGCUGAGGUGCGAAAGCGUGGGGAGCAAACAGG
rnacentral:rRNA from 1 species